rnacentral:rRNA from 1 species
UACGUAGGGGGCAAGCGUUGUCCGGAUUUAUUGGGCGUAAAGAGCGUGUAGGCGGUUCGGUAGGUCCGUUGUGAAAACUCGAGGCUCAACCUCGAGACGCCGAUGGAAACCCUUGAACUAGAGUCCGGAAGAGGAGAGUGGAAUUCCUGGUGUAGCGGUGAAAUGCGCAGAUAUCAGGAAGAACACCCGUGGCUAAGGCGGCUCUCUAGUACGGUACUGACGCUGAGACGCGAAAGCGUGGGGAGCGAACAGG